CAAACCCCAGGAGGGCUAGUGUGUAAGCCCUUUAUGUCUGAAGGUCUUUCUCUGUGGCCAUGGAGGCUCUGCUCUGAGAACUCGGGAUAUCGAGAACAGAGUCUUCCCCCUGAGGAACUUCGAUUCGAACAGUGGUAACCUGGGAGAGCAGAAGUAUGUGACGUGCAAGAAAUGAAUGAAACUGAAUAUUAUCAUGAUUGCUAGUUAAACAGGGGGAAAUUGAGGCAAGAAAUCCUCUACGUUGGGAAAUCUGGUUCCUCUUCUGAACACUACUGCAAUCCCAUACAGCUGCCCGGCUGUCCACUGGAAAAGCGCAUUGUGUAUGAAGUGUGAGACACCAGUGCUUUGUGAGGGCUAUUCUUCCUCCUACAGUCCUUACCGCUCCUCUGGACCUAGAAAGUACCAUUUUCAGUUUCUGUUUAGCAUCCUUAAGGUGAGCA
rnacentral:lncRNA from 1 species